GACGUAGGGCGCGAGCGUUGUCCGGAUUUAUUGGGCGUAAAGAGCUCGUAGGCGGCUUGUCGCGUCGACUGUGAAAACUCGGGGCUUAACUCCGGGCCUGCAGUGGGUACGGGCUGACUAGAGGUGCGGUAGGGGAGGACUGGAAUUCCUGGUGUAGCGGUGAAAUGCGCAGAUAUCAGGAGGAACACCGGUGGCGAAGGCGGGUCUCUGGGCCGAUACUGACGCUGAGGAGCGAAAGCGUGGGGAGCGAACAGG
rnacentral:rRNA from 1 species